rnacentral:lncRNA from 1 species
GCCCGGCGCGGGGGCUGACGGAGUCGGGUCCAUCCGUGGUCUGUUCCCCGCCCCGCAGUGCUGCUCCUGCCUCUGGCACCGGCCCCAGCCCAGGAUGCAAAUUCGGCCUCCACUCCAGGCAGCCCCCUCUCUCCCACCGAGUAUGAGCGCUUCUUCGCACUGCUGACCCCAACCUGGAAGGCAGAGACUACCUGCCGCCUCCGGGCCACCCACGGCUGCCGGAACCCCACCCUCGUCCAGCUGGACCAGUAUGAAAACCACGGCCUGGUGCCGGACGGUGAGGGCCCGACUCCAGGGCCAGCCCGGUGCUCACUUGACGCAGGGGAAGGGCAUGGCUGGCAUCUUGCCGGGCGUCCGAGGUCCGGCUCUCCCGACCCCAGGAGCCCACGGCCCGCUCCAGGAGGGCGUUGCCCCUGGUGUGUUCACUCCACUCCUGCCCUUCCCCAGGCGCUGUCUGCUCCGACCUCCCUUAUGCCUCCUGGUUCGAGUCCUUUUGCCAGUUUACUCAGUACCGUUGCUCCAACCACGUCUACUACGCCAAGAGAGUCCGGUGCUCCCAGCCUGUCUCAAUCCUCUCACCUAACUCUCUCAAGGAGGUGGACACUUCCUCUGAAGUGCCGAUCACCACGAUGACCUCCCCCGUGUCUUCCCACAUCACAGGUGAGACCCUCCCAGCACCUGGGAGACUCAGAAACACCCCGCCCUCAAGUCCCCAAGCCCAGGGUGUAAGGCUGAGCCAGAAAAAGUGGCCUCAGGCAGCUAUUUACACAAGGCAGAGCCUGCUUUCUUUCAAUGCAAGUUGGGGCUUUCCUCUCCCAGAAUGUUUUCUGAUGUUUCUGCCCUGAAUCCAUUUUUCCUAGUCCUUAAAACAUUCCUACAUGAAGUCCUCUGGGGAGUUCCCUGGUGGCUCCGCAGGUUAAGGAUCCCACAUUGUCACUUCUGUGGUGCAGGUUACUGCUGUGGCUUGGAUUUAGUCGCUGACCCAGCAACUUCUGCAUGCUGCAGGUGUGGCCAAAAAAAUUAAUUAAAUUUAAAAAGUCCUCCAAGAGUUCCUGUUGUGGCUCAAUGGUAACA